CCUGGAUCUUCCCCAGGCAAAAUGUAAAGGUAAUUAAGGAAUGAUGUGCUCCCUUAUGAUCCAACGUUCUCACUUUUUGCAUGAGCACGGUUUUGUACUUUCAAGCUUUGAUUACUGAAGUAGCCCUGCAAGUAUUAGACCAUUUGAGACAUCCUAUAUAACCAAGGGGAAUUGUGUCUCCAUUUCAAGCGUGUAAUGUGACGAACAAGGAACAGUUUUUCCAUGUGUUUGAAGCAUGAUUGCGGGGGGCAUUUUUAGAGUGUUUAUUAGGUUGUUUCCUGCAAAAUUUCUCUUAUAAUAAAAAAGGACCGAAGUAGAAACACUCUAAAAAUGCCCCCC
rnacentral:misc_RNA from 1 species